AUUGCAGGCUGCAACCCGCCUGCAUGAAGUCGGAAUUGCUAGUAAUCGCGGAUCAGCAUGCCGCGGUGAAUACGUUCCCGGGCCUUGUACACACCGCCCGUCACACCAUGGGAGCCGGUAAUACCCGAAGUCAGUAGUCCAACCACGUGAGGACGCUGCCGAAGGUAGGAUUGGCGACUGGGGUGAAGUCGUAACAAGGUAAC
rnacentral:rRNA from 1 species